GCGUCGCCCUAAAUCUUUGGGGCUUUUCGUUGAAAGACGGAUUGAAAAACUGGGUGAAUUCGGGGAAAACUUUUUAGUUAAUGCUGAAAAAUAAUCCCGAGCCGAGCCAAGAGGGGUUUAAAUUCCUUGGAAGGUGUAGAGACUAACGGGUGAGUCCCAACAAUAAUCCCGUAUAAGCGCCCAGCUCCCUCGCAUUUAUGUAUUUAGUAGAUGCAGGGAGAUGAGAUAGUCCAAGUUUGCCUUGGAAGAGGCGA
rnacentral:ncRNA from 1 species